GUGUCAGCAGCCGCGGUAAUACGUAGGGUGCAAGCGUUAAUCGGAAUUACUGGGCGUAAAGGGUGCGCAGGCGGCUCCGCAUGUCAGGCGUGAAAUCCCCGGGCUUAACCUGGGAAUGGCGCUUGAAACUACGGGGCUCGAGUAUGGCAGAGGGAGGUGGAAUUCCACGUGUAGCGGUGAAAUGCGUAGAGAUGUGGAGGAACACCGAUGGCGAAGGCAGCCUCCUGGGCCAAUACUGACGCUCAUGCACGAAAGCGUGGGGAGCAAACAGGAUUAGAUACCCUGGUAGUCC
rnacentral:rRNA from 1 species